CAAGUCGAGCGGUAACAGGUGUAGCAAUACAUGCUGACGAGCGGCGGACGGGUGAGUAACGCUUGGGAAUCUGCCUGUUAGUGGGGGACAACCCGGGGAAACUCGGGCUAAUACCGCAUACGCACUACGGUGGAAAGCCGGGGACCGCAAGGCCUGGCGCUAACAGAUGAGCCCAAGUCGGAUUAGCUAGUUGGUGGGGUAAUGGCCUACCAAGGCGACGAUCCGUAACUGGUCUGAGAGGACGACCAGUCACACCGGAACUGAGACACGGUCCGGACUCCUACGGGAGGCAGCAGUGGGGAAUAUUGGACAAUGGGCGAAAGCCUGAUCCAGCGACGCCGCGUGGGUGAAGAAGGCCUGCGGGUUGUAAAGCCCUUUCGGUAGGGAAGAAAAGCCUCGACCUAACACGUCGGGGUAUUGACGUAACCUACUAAAGAAGCACCGGCUAACUCUGUGCCAGCAGCCGCGGUAAUACAGAGGGUGCGAGCGUUAAUCGGAAUUACUGGGCGUAAAGCGCGCGUAGGCGGCUUUGCAAGUCGGGUGUGAAAUCCCCAGGCUUAACCUGGGAACUGCACUCGAGACUGCAUUGCUAGAGUAUGGGAGAGGGAAGUGGAAUUUCCGGUGUAGCGGUGAAAUGCGUAGAUAUCGGAAGGAACAUCAGUGGCGAAAGCGACUUCCUGGACCAAUACUGACGCUCAUGUGCGAAAGCGUGGGGAGCAAACAGGAUUAGAUACCCUGGUAGUCCACGCCAUAAACGAUGAGAACUGGAUGUCGGGGGGGUCUGCCCUCCGGUGUCGUAGCUAACGCGUUAAGUUCUCCGCCUGGGGA
rnacentral:rRNA from 1 species